rnacentral:rRNA from 1 species
GAUGAACGCUGGCGGCGUGCUUAACACAUGCAAGUCGAACGGAAAGGCCCCUGCUUGCAGGGGUACUCGAGUGGCGAACGGGUGAGUAACACGUGGGUGAUCUACCCCGCACUUCGGGAUAAGCCCGGGAAACUGGGUCUAAUACCGGAUAGUCACGCCCCUUUUGUGUGGGGUGUGGAAAGAUUUAUCGGUGUGGGAUGAGCUUGCGGCCUAUCAGCUUGUUGGUGGGGUAAUGGCCUACCAAGGCGUCGACGGGUAGCCGGCCUGAGAGGGUGUACGGCCACAUUGGGACUGAGAUACGGGCCAGACUCCUACGGGAGGCAGCAGUGGGGAAUAUUGCACAAUGGGCGCAAGCCUGAUGCAGCGACGCCGCGUGGGGGAUGACGGCCUUCGGGUUGUAAACUCCUUUCGCCCACGACGAAGCCCUUUUAGGGUGACGGUAGUGGGAUAAGAAGCACCGGCUAACUACGUGCCAGCCGCCGCCGUAACAC